UUCAAGCCGUUUGCCGUAACUAUGCCCCUAUUUAUUUCAUUAUUUAUUCAGCAGUCAAUACAUUUAUUUUUGUUUUGACUUUUUAGGUCAUGAGAGUCUCCGGAGAGCGAAUUGCACCCCAGAUGCCCACGCACUUGAUGGAGGAAAUAGCUCGGUCCGAAAGUAAGGACCCCGAACUCGGUUGAGGCAGAAGAAAAAUCUGUAAACAAAGAUCAGGGCGUUACCAAGUGAGUCUAAUGGAAAACAAUGGAAUCUGGAUCGGUCAGGCGAAGAAAGAUGAUGUCAUGGUCCCAUAUCAAAACUGUACCAUUUUAUGCGACUUGUACUUGAGUGAAGAAUUCCGGUCUCUUCAAGUGCAUUAAUUGGCGGCCACAAGUAAUAAACGAACUGCUUCCCGUACAUACAACACAUGGCUAACCUUUAUUUCUCCUGCCGCGCUGCAGAAAUAAAGGUAAAAUCUAAACUGGUCAUCAAGGAAAUGGAAGCCACCAGGUAAUUCAUCUAAACACAGAUCACGAUGUCGCAAUAGAAUGACACACAAGCGAGUGAACACCUAAAAUCGAAGAAAUAGAUGAAACAUUUUGGAAAAAAAUAAAAAAUGACAGGCAGUAACUGAAGGGGGAAUCUGGGAAACACAGAGGAGUCUUCGAGGAAGGGAGCAGGCAUGCAAGGCCAUGGAAAACCGCCUAAAAACCGUGCUUGAAAUGAACGACUUCAUAUGGCCAGAGAGGGCAGAAAGAGAACGAGGUAUGUGACUCGAAGUGGGGUUGGUGAAUGUCCGUGGCACUAUUAUAGGGAUUAUACUGAAAUUGAAUACACUGGAAAAAGAAAAAACAAAAGAGAAAUUCAGGCAACUCGAAGGGUGGAAAACUUGGAAAGUACAAAGGAGUACAAAGUGAGCGGACAACGCCUAGGAAAACCGUUAAGGCCGCGUAUUGAAAUAUACGACUUAAUGAUAAUUAUGACGAGUGAAAUUGUAAAGAGAACGAGACACAUAACUCAAAUCGUGAUUGUGAACCUUCAAGGCAAAAUUGAAAGGAAUCUAUUGGAAUGGAUUACAUUUGAGAAAGAAAAUCAGGGUACAGGAAGGGAGAAAAACCGGGAAAGUAAAGAGUAGAUUUUGGGAGAGGAGUCAUAUAACUGAAAUCAUGAUCUUGAACGUUUGAGGCACGAUCAAAGGAAAAAGCACUGGGAAGUAGUAGAAGACACCUCAGUCUCGCGGAUAAGCAAGGGAGAAGGGAGUAGGGUCGUAAAGAGAAUCACGCAUGUUUGAAUAUCUUAGGGGAGAGCAGCAAACAAGGAAACCACAGGGUAUCAACGAGAAACCGUGUUAUCACAAAGGUACUGGUGGACAAUUUUGAAAAGCAUGGACUCGCGCCAACUUAGCCACAACACGAACACUUCGUGAUCGGCGUUUUUGACGUGUUUCAUGGAGCAGUCCUUAUUUAUCGCCUGGAAGGAUUGCGGGGUGGGGGAAUCACUUGGUUUUCAGGAGCAAGGGAGGAGGUAUUAGUCGUCGCCAGCAAAGUAUAAAGGGGAGGGGGACUACAGGAAAUUGACUGUCAAUGAGGGUAGCCCUAUGGGGAGAUCAGAUAAAUUUUAAUUUGACACAAUCAAAAUC
rnacentral:lncRNA from 1 species